UACGGAGGGGGCGAGCGUUAUUCGGAAUUAUUGGGCGUAAAGGGCGCGUAGGCGGCCCGGUAAGUCAAAGGUGAAAUCCCUCGGCUCAACUGAGGAACUGCCUUUGAAACUGUCGGGCUUGAGGGUCGGAGAGGGGCGUGGAAUUCCGGGUGGAGCGGUGAAAUGCGUAGAGAUCCGGAGGAACACCGACGGCGUAGGCAGCGCCCUGGACGACACCUGACGCUGAGGCACGAAAGCUGGGGGAGCGAACAGG
rnacentral:rRNA from 1 species